AAGUUCUAGAGGCAGUGCUAGUCUAUAGGUAACGGUAUCAAUCCUGUCUAAGACUUCAAAUGGUCCAAUAAAUCCGGUGUUCAGUUUUUCCCUCCUACCGAACCUACUAAUUCCCUUGAAAGGAGUGAUCUUAAUGAACACCCCGUCGCUUUUCUCAAAUUCUAAAUCUCUCCUCCGAGUGUCCGCAUAACUUUUCUGUCUGCUCUUAGUCGUCUGAAUGUUCUUCUUGAUCUUAACUAUUUUGGAUGU
rnacentral:lncRNA from 1 species